CUUUUAGCUGUCCUUCAAAUAUAAAAUUCUGAGUCCCCAAAUCAAACAAAAAGGGUUUUAUACACUAAAAAAUGGUGUAUAUAUGAUUUUAGUAAAAUUUAUAUAUAUGGCUUUAUUUCAGAGAAAAGUAAAGAAGAAAUUUCUGGCUUCCUUGGACAGAUUAUUGAGAAAUGAGAGAACAAGUCCAACACCAUGAAAAAUAUGGCAAAAAUUUUCUGCCUCUGCUCAUGGGCAAAUUACUAUUGAGAAAUGAAAACAAAUUAAUCUAAUACACCAUGUCGUAAAAGAUGGCAGAGGUACAGCAAAGAGACAUGACAUAUAUAUAAUAUAUAUGAAAAACCAACUUUGUUCAUGAUCAAUAGCUCUGCACCAUAGCUUUACAAGAACCCCAGUUCCCAUCACUAGAGGAGCCUCUUUCUUCCUUCUGCCAUUGCCAAUCGUCAUCUAAUAUCUUCUCAAGCUCUCGUGGCUGGCAAGGAAUGGUGAGUGCGCCUUCAUGAUCAAAACCAUACUCCUCAGCUGCUUGCUCCAAUAGCUUCAAGAAAGUUGGGUGUGUUAAGUAACUCAAGGCCACCACAAAUCUCUUUGGUUCGUCUCCAUCCACAGCUAUCACAGCAAAGUGACCCUCCUUCACAUCUUCCGGCACACGUGUUGAGUCAUCGGAAUAAUUUGAUGGUUUUGAUCCCAAAUAUAGACUUCUUUGUAGCUUUUCUACUACAACUUUGAGCUCGACAAUGCUAUUCUUCUUCUUGCAAGCACUACUAGUUCUAGACUUUUCCAUGUUUGUGUUUGUGCUUAAUUUUUCUUUGGUCUAGAGACUUUUUCUUUUUCUUUUUUCUUGUUUUUUUGGGUAGCCUUUGGUCUAGAGACUUAGCU
rnacentral:lncRNA from 1 species